rnacentral:rRNA from 1 species
AGGGACGACAGUUUGGGGAGCAAACAGGAUUAGAUACCCUGGUAGUCCAAACCGUAAAUUAUGCUUGCUAGAUGUUUUUAUCAAUUUAUUGGUAGGAGUGUCGUAAUCUAACGAGUUAAGCAAGCCGCCUGGGUAGUAUAUUCGCAAGAAUGAAACUCAAAGGGAUAGGCGGGGGAACACACAAGCAGUGGAUUAUCUAGAUUAAUUGGAUAAUAAGCCAAGAAUCUUACCUAGGAUUGACAUGUAUUGUGUCUGCGGUGAAAGUCGCAUAUCCGUAGCAAUACGGAGCUUUACACAGGUGGUGCAUGGUCGUCGUCAGCUCGUGCCGCAAGGUGUCUAGUUAAGUCUGGAAACGAGCGCAACCCUCGUGUUUAGUUAGUAUGUCUAAACAGACUGCUCGGGUAACCGAGAGGAAGGAGAGGAUGACGUCAGAUCCUCAUGCCUCUUACACCUAGGGCCUCAUAGAUAAUACAAUGGGUAGGUACAGCGAGAAGCAAGACCGCGAGGUGGAGCAAAUCUUUAAAACUACCCCUAGUUCGGAUUGUAGUCUGGAACUCGACUACAUGAAGUUGGAAUUGCUAGUAAUGGCAGAUCAGCCAUGCUGCCGUGAAUACGUCCCUGUUCCUUGCACUCACCGCCCGUCAAACCAUGGGAGCUGAGGCUCUUUGAAGACUCAUUAUAUGGGUUAAGGAGGGAAUCAGUGACUGGGGUUAAGUCGUAACAAGGCAUCCCUACCGGAAGGUGGGGAUA